CCAGGCCUGUCAGCCGGAGGCCCCCACCCUGGGGACCCUAUGGAAGUCUGUUCAGAUGACGCCAUGGAACUCAGCUCCGAACCCACUGCACUGGGCCCCUGUAGAAGAACCUACAGUCAGAGAGUGCCCUCUACCAUCUGUUUUGGCCAGGGUGCAUCUCGAGGGUUCAAAAGCUCCAA